rnacentral:rRNA from 1 species
ACUCAAUAGAUACCCGGGUAGUCCUGGCAGUAAACGGUGCGCGUUUGGUGUGGGAGGAUUCGACCCCUUCUGUGCCGGAGCUAAACGCGUUAAACGCGCCGCCUGGGGAGUACGGUCGCAAGAUUAAAACUCAAAGAAAUUGACGGGGGCCCGCACAAGCGGUGGAGUAUGUGGCUUAAUUCGAUGCAACGCGAAGAACCUUACCUAGCCUUGACAUGCAUCUCUAAGUCGGUGAAAGCCGGCGAGUGUAGCAAUACACAAUUUGCACAGGUGCUGCAUGGCUGUCGUCAGCUCGUGUCGUGAGAUGUUGGGUUAAAGUCCCGCAACGAGCGCAACCCCCGUGUGAACUGUUGCCACCGGACCUGGU